rnacentral:rRNA from 1 species
GUACACUCCUACGGGAGGCAGCAGUGGGGAAUAUUGGACAAUGGGCGCAAGCCUGAUCCAGCCAUGCCGCGUGAGUGAUGAAGGCCCUAGGGUUGUAAAGCUCUUUCACCGGUGAAGAUAAUGACGGUAACCGGAGAAGAAGCCCCGGCUAACUUCGUGCCAGCAGCCGCGGUAAUACGAAGGGGGCUAGCGUUGUUCGGAUUUACUGGGCGUAAAGCGCACGUAGGCGGACUAUUAAGUCAGGGGUGAAAUCCCGGGGCUCAACCCCGGAACUGCCUUUGAUACUGGUAGUCUUGAGUUCGAGAGAGGUGAGUGGAAUUCCGAGUGUAGAGGUGAAAUUCGUAGAUAUUCGGAGGAACACCAGUGGCGAAGGCGGCUCACUGGCUCGAUACUGACGCUGAGGUGCGAAAGCGUGGGGAGCAAACAGGAUUAGAAACCCGAGUAGUCCC